AUUCCCAGGCUAGGGGUCCAGUUGGAGCUGUAGCUGGGGCCUAUGCCACAGCCACAGCAACAUAGGAUCUGAGCUGCAUCUGCAGUCUACACCACAGCUCACGGCAAUGUCAGAUCCUUAACCCACUGAGCAAGGCCAGGGAUUGAACUUGCGUCCUCAUGAAUGCUAGUCAGAUUCAUUUCCACUGAGCUACAGUGGUAACUCCUGAAGAUUGUGUUCUUAACCACUUCAAUUGUACAGCCCUUCAAAGGAAAGGGAAGAAAAAGUCAGCACAAGUUAUCUUAGGUUCUCUCAACAGAAGCUCUGUCUCCAAAACCAAACUUAGAUAGACAGAACAAAAAACAAGUUCUGGGAGUUCCUGUCUUGGUGCAGCAGAAGCAAAUCUGACUAGGAACCACGAGGUGGGUUUGAUCCCUGACCUCGCUAAAUGGGUUAAGGAUCCAGUAUUGCCAUGAGCUGUGGUAUAGGUCGCAGACGUUGCUGUGGCUCUGGUGUAGGCUGGCAGCUCUAGCUCCGCUUAGCCCCUAGCCUGGGAACCUCCAUAUGCUGCAGGUGCGGCCCUAAAAAUAAAAAAUAAUAAACCGUGUUUGUUUUUGUAAAGAUGUCUUUCUUGUAAAGAAAAUUCUUUGAGGAUAGGAAGACAAGAGUAGCCGCAUCCAUGAAGACAUUAGUAUUGCUAACCUUCAACUAAUCCAGGCUAGAGCAGGAUCCGUGUCAUGGGCAUGUGACCAAUGCAGUCCCACAGGGCCUUGCACAGAGAACGGCUGUGCUUUGAAGGUUUUUUCCUGUCGAUUUCAUGCUCCGCUAUCCCGGUCGUGAAAUUCUUAAUACUUUUUGCAUGAGGGGUCCUGCAUUUUUAUUUUAUACUGGGCAUCUCCAUUUUUGUAACUAGUCAUGGACUGGUGUCUUGGUUAACCCUUUAAAGCAGCUAAUUGCUUGGCAGUGGAGAAGGGAUGUGGACAGGCAACACUAGAAGAGCUGCUAGUAAAGGCCUCAGAUUCUGCUACUAUUUAUACUGGACCCUGGAUAGGAAAGCUCAGGCCUUGAAUUUCUAGGCUGCAGAAUAUCCAGUUCCCUGAGUAUUAAUGAUUCUACAAGAUCACCCUGGGAUCAAAUAAGAUAAUUAUUGAAGGAUACUGGUCUAUUUUAAGGGGAAAAAAUAUACCACAGACAGUAUUUUCUGGAGUUUCAGUGGGCUUAGAUCUGUUUGAGUUCUUUUUCCUGGUCUGAGAUUUGUUUUAGGUCAAUUUAAUGAUUCUCUUUCAUAAUAAGCACCAAAUCAAUUAAAUGAGACAUACUUCCUUUUAACAGGAAUCAAUAUCUAUCAUUUCCAUUUUGAUGUAUCUUACGUUUCUAUUGUCUUUAAUAAACGUGAAUGCACUUUGUGAUUUUAGGUUUGUUUUGUGUAAUGUGUGAGAGUGUGGGCUUAAAAUACUUUAUACCAUCAGAUUUGCUAGUAUAUUCCAGUGAUGUUAUCAAAACUACUAUGUGUAAUACCUCUGUAAUUCUACCUGGCUGCUGCUGCUUUUUAUUUUUAUUUUUAUUUUUAUUUUUAUUUUUAUUUUCCCACUGUACAGCAAAGGGGUCAGGUUAUCCUUACAUGUAUACAUUGCAAUUACAGUUUUUCCCCCACCCUUUCUUCUGUUGCAACAUGAGUAUCUAGACAUAGUUCUCAAUGCUAUUCAGCAGGAUCUCCUUGCUGCUUUUUCUUUACUUCCUCAGAAACCUUAACUUAGAGACUGUCUGUGAUCUUGAGUCAUAUUCAUCUGCAUUUGCUUUUGAUAAACACCCAUGUACUCUGAAUCUUAUCUCUUGCGAUAAUUUUCUUCUGUACAGUUUAAUAGCGUUUUCUCUGCCAUCUUGAAGAUCCCCUGCUGAAUCCCACCAUUCUACCCCAAAUGAAAACAAGCAGAGGCAAAAUUCCUGAUUUGUGGAGUACUUAAAAAAGCCACUGUCUUCAUUGAUUGUUGCUAAUUUAUCCAAGUCCUAGAUCUUUUCUAUUUUCAAAUGAUUAUGUUUUGUUGGAGAUUGAGUUUAAUAUUUAGUUAAGACAGGAGAAAUUCUGUGGGGAAUGAGUUCCAUAACCUCCACUUCUGCAGAGUUGUAUGUGUUACUGCUGCAGACCCAGCAGAGGGAGCCCACGUUAACAAACGAAAUUUUCUCUGGAACUAUUUUUGUGACUUCAACUAGUAUCUCCUGGUCAAAGGAGUUUUUCGAGGGGGAGAGGGAGGUCAGGAUAUAUGGGGUGUGUGUGUGUUAGAAAGAGAGUAGAAGGAAGAAGUAAAAUAGAGGGUGCAGGCCAUGUGCAUUUUAAGAUGUACUUGAAAUGUGGAUGAUAUAUGAUAUCUUCUGAAGGGAAAUGACAGAAUUGAUGGAGAGAAGCAUUUGAUUUUCAGAUCCCUAGAAGGUAGUUUAAUGCUUAAGGUAUAAAACUACUUUUUCCUACUUUUCCAGUUGUUAGCCAGUUCUUCCUUUAAAACUUUUUAGAUUGAAUCCUAAUACAUUUUCCAUUUCUUGUGAUUUUUAUAUUUAGGGUAAUUGCCCAGGGAAAGCUUUUUUUAAAAUUCCCUUUCUUACUCCGUUGCCUUACUGCCCCACACAUUGUGUGUGCAUCCAUGUCUGAGUGUAGUAAAUCUUGGAGGCUCUUUAAAUUUAGGUGAAUAUGUAUUCAAUAGAUAAUCAAUUAGUCCAUCAACUAUGCAAACAGUAGCUGUUGAACUUGGAGCACCAUAGGAGGUGCAGAAUGUGUGUGCAUCUGUGUAUAUGGAGGAGUGGUACAGACAGAAAAGAGAAUCAAAACCAUUUUCUGUGCUCAGUGAACUUCCAUGUAGUUGAGUAAAUAAAUGUGUUUAGUAAGACACAAAACAUUAUGUAACCAGAUGUUAAGCAGUAGUUCCAAGUGCCCACAAAGUAACCUGAGCAUAAAGUAAGCACUCAUGGGAGAGACAUGCAGCUCCUUAAGGGAGAUGGAAGAGCCCAGGAAAACUUCAGUGAGGAUAUGAAUGGCUCUCACUAAUGAGAGCAGAAGAGAGGAGGCAACAGCACCUUCCUUGGUGGAGAAGCAACACAAGAAAGACUGUGAGCAAGAAAGUAUGGUUAUGAUGGAGCUACGGGACCACAGUGAGGGAUUACGCUGCUUGCGUACUGCGUACUCCUAGGAGGUGCCAUUCACACCAGGACUAUGUGAAUAGUGCUCCUGGAGGUAUCCAGUACCUUAGAAUGAGUUCUGGAGUGAUUGGGUUGUGUUGAACACUGAUUGUUCACCCUUUGUGUAUUACAUUAAUAUAACCACCAAUCAGUCUAUUGAGAGCAAUCUAUAAAGAGGUAGUAGGUACAGAUGGACUAUAUAAUCAGCCCUGAUUUGAAUCCUGCAUGCAUCAAAAAAUAGAUGUGUGUGGAUCCUCGGGGCAGAGCUUCUGUGCCUGCCCACUUGCAUCUCUCACAAGCAUCCUAUCUUAAUCUAUUUCUUGCCUAUCAAAAAAAAAAAAAAA
rnacentral:lncRNA from 1 species